UCUCAAGACAUGCAGAGUGAAGAAAUAUAUGUAUGUACACUUGGCAGGUGCAGAUGUAAAUUGCUAUGUAUUUUUAGAACAGUAUCAAACACAAUUAUUUGCAUUCUGAUUGCUAUGCACCGAGGUAGCAGACAGCAGAUACAAAAGCAUUGUAUAUUUAUGCGUGAUUGUGCUAUAACCGGUUUUGUUAGUACUAUGUGUAACUGCUGCCAAGAAAUGCCUGAAACUUUUGGAAUACUAAAAAAAGAUGAUGACAAAUUGAGAAAGCUAGGACAUAUAUAUUUACAACUGUGUAAAAAUAACCAUUUUAGCAAGUUUAGCUGGAGGUAAGAUACAUGGUAGUUAUGACGUACCAGGC